rnacentral:rRNA from 1 species
UGCUACCUACGGGGCGCAGCAGUGGGGGAUAUUGCACAAUGGGGGGAACCCUGAUGCAGCGACGCCGCGUGGGCGAUGGAGUGCUUCGGCAUGUAAAGCCCUAUCAGCAGGGAAGAAAUGACGGUACCUGACCAAGAAGCCCCGGCUAACUACGUGCCAGCAGCCGCGGUAAUACGUAGGGGGCAAGCGUUAUCCGGAAUUACUGGGUGUAAAGGGAGCGUAGACGGUGAUGCAAGUCUGGAGUGAAAGGCGGGGGCCCAACCCCCGGACUGCUCUGGAAACUGUGUAACUUGAGUGCGGGAGAG